GACGAACGCUGGCGGCGUGCCUAAUACAUGCAAGUCGAACGCAGUGGGGACGGGUGAGUAACACGUGGGUAACCUCCCAUCAGAGGGGAUAACACUUGGAAACAGGUGCUAAACCGAUACUGAUGGAUGAACCCGCGGUGCAUUAGGUAGUUGGUGAGGUAACGGCUCACCAAGGCCACGAUGCAUAGCUGACCUUAGAGGUGGAUCGGCCACACUGGAACUGAGAAGCGGCCCAGACUCCGACGGGAGGCAGCAGUAGGGAAUCUUCGGCAAUGGACGAAAGUCUGAUCGAGCAACGCCGCGUGAGUGAAGAAGGUUUUCGGAUCGUAAAACUCUGUUGUUGGAGAAGCGGUAUCUAACCAGAAAGCCACGGCUAACUACGUGCCAGCAGCCGCGGUAAUUC
rnacentral:rRNA from 1 species